CCAGGGCUACACACGUGCUACAAUGGCGCAUACAAAGAGAAGCGACCUCGCGAGAGCAAGCGAACCUCAUAAAGUGCGUCGUAGUCCGGAUUGGAGUCUGCAACUCGACUCCAUGAAGUCGGAAUCGCUAGUAAUCGUGGAUCAGAAUGCCACGGUGAAUACGUUCCCGGGCCUUGUACACACCGCCCGUCACACCAUGGGAGUGGGUUGCAAAAGAAGUAGGUAGCUUAACCUUCGGGAGGGCGCUUACCACUUUGUGAUUCAUGACUGGGGUGAAGUCGUAACAAGGUAACCGUAGGGGAACCUGCGGUUGGAUCACCUCCUUACCUUAAAGAA
rnacentral:rRNA from 1 species